rnacentral:lncRNA from 1 species
UGGAGUCAAUUGCUUGCUGCUGCCCUGCAGAUGUUCUACUCCUGUUUCUGCGUUUAUUUUUAUUCAUCCAAAUGGGAAAGAAAUGCAACAUGUCAAGGCAUUACAAACCGCAGCAGCCAGACAAGGAGUCUAUGGCAGAGUCCAACAUAUUCCACACAAAGGAGCCGCAGUGUGGGUGCUGCUCGCAGGGUCCCUUUGGAUGAAGGCCAGGCAUCUCUGGGCGAGGCACUGAUGAUAGUCCACACAUGCAGGCUGCUGCUUCAAGCACGUUGACACUUGGAAAGUCCAGAGUCUACAUGUCACCACAGGCCCAGAAAGCAAGGGGCAGUCCGUGGUGCUUGUGGUUUCCAAUGUUUAACAGUAUACAUCAUGAAAUUAUUGCCAAAGACUUUGUACUGCAAAUUAUGCUAUUUACACUGUAUACUUGGGAAAACAGUAAAUACAAAUGGGCAUUAUAAACAGACUCCUAAGCACUAACUUGGCCAACAUCAGACCCAAAUAAGCUAAAGCCAGGAGAAAAAUGCCACCUGUAACUCUCCAAAAGGCAGG